UACAGAGGGUGCAAGCGUUAAUCGGAAUUACUGGGCGUAAAGCGUGCGUAGACGGUUAUGUAAGUCAGAUGUGAAAGCCCCGGGCUCAACCUGGGAAUUGCAUUUGAGACUGCAUAGCUAGGGUGCGGAAGAGGGAAGCGGAAUUUCGGGUGUAGCGGUGAAAUGCGUAGAUAUCCGAAGGAACAUCAGUGGCGAAAGCGGCUUCCUGGACCAGAACUGACGAUCAGGCACGAAAGCGUGGGGAGCAAACAGG
rnacentral:rRNA from 1 species